GCUGUAAAUGAUUUUCUCAGGCACCAGAUCCCAUCUUAUCUUGGAAGCUAAGCAGGAUCAGCCUUAAUUAGUACUUGGGUGGGAUACUUCAUCCUGUCUAGUUCUAGAGACAAAAGGGGGUUCACAGUC
rnacentral:rRNA from 11 species